UACGUAGGGUGCAAGCGUUGUCCGGAAUCAUUGGGCGUAAAGGGCGCGUAGGUGGCCCGGUCAGUUCAUGGUGAAAUCCCAGGGCUCAACCCUGGAACUGCCUUCUAGACUGCAGGCCUCGAGGUCAGGAGAGGCGAGUGGAAUACCGAGUGUAGAGGUGAAAUUCGUAGAUAUUCGGUGGAACACCAGUGGCGAAGGCGACUCGCUGGACUGAUACUGACGCUGAGGUGCGAAAGCGUGGGGAGCAAACAGG
rnacentral:rRNA from 1 species